rnacentral:misc_RNA from 1 species
UCCUCUUUACAGAGGCAGUUUGAUCCGAGUUCCCGACUUUACUCGCUGGCAACAGAUCAUGAGGGUUGCGCUCGUUGCGGGACUUAACCCAACAUUUCACAACACGAGCUGACGACAGCCAUGCACCACCUGUGCACCACCCUCGAAGGCGACGCCGUUUCGGGCGCUUGCAGGUGCAUGUCAAGUCCUGGUAAGGUUCUUCGCGUUGCAUCGAAUUAAGCCAUAUGCUCCACCGCUUGUGCGGGCCCCCGCCAAUUCCUUUGAGUUUCAACCUUGCGGCCGUAGUCCCCAGGCGGUUCACUUAAUGCGUUAGCUGCGGCACCGAGGGAAACCCCCAACACCUAGUGAACAUCGUUUACGGCGUGGACUAC